UCGAGCGCGAACGUCCUUCGGGACUAUUAGAGCGGCGCAAGGGCGAGGAAUCCAUUCCUACGUACCCCAAGGUCGAGGAUAGCUCAGGGAAACUUGAGGCAAUACUCGAUGUGGUGCUUCGGCAUCAAAGGCUUGCUGCCUUGGGAGCGGGGAAUGACCUAUCAGGUUGUUGGUGAGGUAACGGCUCACCAAGCCUUAGACGGGUAGCGGGUGUGAGAGCACGACCCGCCGCAUCGGGACUGAGACACUGCCCGGACUCCUACGGGAGGCUGCAGUAACGAAUCUUCCGCAAUGCACGAAAGUGUGACGGGGCAAUACCGCGUGUGGGAUGAAGCCCUUCGGGGUGUAAACCACUGUCAGGGUUCAGGAAAAAAAUGACCAGACCCAAAGGAAGGGCCGGCUAACUCUGUGCCAGCAGCCGCGGUAAUACAGAGGGCCCGAGCGUUAAUCGGAAUCACUGGGCUUAAAGCGUACGUAGGCGGACAUGUAGGCAUUUUGUGAAAUCCCUCGGCUCAACCGGGGAAUUGCAGAGUGAACCACAUGUCUUGAGGCGAGUAGAGGCGGUCGGAACGAUAGGUGGAGCGGUGAAAUGCGUAGAUAUCUAUCGGAACGCCAAAGGUGAAGACAGGCCGCUGGGCUCGUCCUGACGCUGAGGUACGAAAGCGUGGGUAGCGAACGGGAUUAGAU
rnacentral:rRNA from 1 species